UCCUCCUCUGGAUAUAACCUGUUCCUGUGU
rnacentral:piRNA from 1 species